UACGUAGGCAGCGAGCGUUGUUCGGAGUUACUGGGCGUAAAGGGUGCGUAGGUGGCGCCGUAAGUCAGGUGUGAAAUUUCGGAGCUUAACUCCGAAACUGCAUUUGAUACUGCGGUGCUUGAGGACUGGAGAGGAGACUGGAAUUUACGGUGUAGCAGUGAAAUGCGUAGAGAUCGUAAGGAAGACCAGUGGCGAAGGCGGGUCUCUGGACAGUUCCUGACACUGAGGCACGAAGGCCAGGGGAGCAAACGGG
rnacentral:rRNA from 1 species